rnacentral:rRNA from 1 species
UUAAGCGACUAAGCGUACACGGUGGAUGCCCUGGCAGUCAGAGGCGAUGAAGGACGUGCUAAUCUGCGAAAAGCGUCGGUAAGGUGAUAUGAACCGUUACAGCCGGCGAUGUCCGAAUGGGGAAACCCAGUGCAAUUCGUUGCACUAUCGUUAACUGAAUACAUAGGUUAACGAGGCGAACCGGGGGAACUGAAACAUCUAAGUACCCCGAGGAAAAGAAAUCAACCGAGAUUCCCCCAGUAGCGGCGAGCGAACGGGGAGCAGCCCAGAGUCUGAAUCAGCUUGUGUGUUAGUGGAACGGUCUGGAAAGUCCGACGGUACAGGGUGAUAGUCCCGUACACCAAAAUGCACAGGUUGUGAACUCGAAGAGUAGGGCGGGACACGUGGUAUCCUGUCUGAAUAUGGGGGGACCAUCCUCCAAGGCUAAAUACUCCUGACUGACCGAUAGUGAACCAGUACCGUGAGGGAAAGGCGAAAAGAACCCCGGCGAGGGGAGUGAAAAAGAACCUGAAACCGUGUACGUACAAGCAGUGGGAGCACCUUCGGGUGUGACUGCGUACCUUUUGUAUAAUGGGUCAGCGACUUAUAUUCUGUAGCAAGGUUAACCGUAUAGGGGAGCCGCAGGGAAACCGAGUCUUAACUGGGCGUUAAGUUGCAGGGUAUAGACCCGAAACCCGGUGAUCUAGCCAUGGGCAGGUUGAAGGUUGGGUAACACUAACUGGAGGACCGAACCGACUAAUGUUGAAAAAUUAGCGGAUGACUUGUGGCUGGGGGUGAAAGGCCAAUCAAACCGGGAGAUAGCUGGUUCUCCCCGAAAGCUAUUUAGGUAGCGCCUCGUGAACUCAUCUUCGGGGGUAGAGCACUGUUUCGGCUAGGGGGUCAUCCCGACUUACCAACCCGAUGCAAACUACGAAUACCGAAGAAUGUUAUCACGGGAGACACACGGCGGGUGCUAACGUCCGUCGUGAAGAGGGAAACAACCCAGACCGCCAGCUAAGGUCCCAAAGUCAUGGUUAAGUGGGAAACGAUGUGGGAAGGCACAGACAGCCAGGAUGUUGGCUUAGAAGCAGCCAUCAUUUAAAGAAAGCGUAAUAGCUCACUGGUCGAGUCGGCCUGCGCGGAAGAUGUAACGGGGCUAAACCAUGCACCGAAGCUGCGGCAGCGACACUUAUGUGUUGUUGGGUAGGGGAGCGUUCUGUAAGCCUGCGAAGGUGGCCUGUGAGGGCUGCUGGAGGUAUCAGAAGUGCGAAUGCUGACAUAAGUAACGAUAAAGCGGGUGAAAAGCCCGCUCGCCGGAAGACCAAGGGUUCCUGUCCAACGUUAAUCGGGGCAGGGUGAGUCGACCCCUAAGGCGAGGCCGAAAGGCGUAGUCGAUGGGAAACAGGUUAAUAUUCCUGUACUUGGUGUUACUGCGAAGGGGGGACGGAGAAGGCUAUGUUAGCCGGGCGACGGUUGUCCCGGUUUAAGCAUGUAGGCGGAGGUUCCAGGUAAAUCCGGUACCUUUUAACGCUGAGGUGUGAUGACGAGGCACUACGGUGCUGAAGUAACAAAUGCCCUGCUUCCAGGAAAAGCCUCUAAGCAUCAGGUAACAUUAAAUCGUACCCCAAACCGACACAGGUGGUCAGGUAGAGAAUACCAAGGCGCUUGAGAGAACUCGGGUGAAGGAACUAGGCAAAAUGGUGCCGUAACUUCGGGAGAAGGCACGCUGGUGUGUAGGUGAAGUCCCUGCGGAUGGAGCUGAGACCAGUCGAAGAUACCAGCUGGCUGCAACUGUUUAUUAAAAACACAGCACUGUGCAAACACGAAAGUGGACGUAUACGGUGUGACGCCUGCCCGGUGCCGGAAGGUUAAUUGAUGGGGUUAUCCGUAAGGAGAAGCUCUUGAUCGAAGCCCCGGUAAACGGCGGCCGUAACUAUAACGGUCCUAAGGUAGCGAAAUUCCUUGUCGGGUAAGUUCCGACCUGCACGAAUGGCGUAAUGAUGGCCAGGCUGUCUCCACCCGAGACUCAGUGAAAUUGAACUCGCUGUGAAGAUGCAGUGUACCCGCGGCAAGACGGAAAGACCCCGUGAACCUUUACUAUAGCUUGACACUGAACAUUGAGCCUUGAUGUGUAGGAUAGGUGGGAGGCUUUGAAGCGUGGACGCCAGUCUGCGUGGAGCCAACCUUGAAAUACCACCCUUUAAUGUUUGAUGUUCUAACGUUGGCCCCUAAUCGGGGUUGCGGACAGUGUCUGGUGGGUAGUUUGACUGGGGCGGUCUCCUCCCAAAGAGUAACGGAGGAGCACGAAGGUUAGCUAAUCCUGGUCGGACAUCAGGAGGUUAGUGCAAUGGCAUAAGCUAGCUUGACUGCGAGCGUGACGGCGCGAGCAGGUGCGAAAGCAGGUCAUAGUGAUCCGGUGGUUCUGAAUGGAAGGGCCAUCGCUCAACGGAUAAAAGGUACUCCGGGGAUAACAGGCUGAUACCGCCCAAGAGUUCAUAUCGACGGCGGUGUUUGGCACCUCGAUGUCGGCUCAUCACAUCCUGGGGCUGAAGUAGGUCCCAAGGGUAUGGCUGUUCGCCAUUUAAAGUGGUACGCGAGCUGGGUUUAGAACGUCGUGAGACAGUUCGGUCCCUAUCUGCCGUGGGCGCUGGAGAAUUGAGGGGGGCUGCUCCUAGUACGAGAGGACCGGAGUGGACGCAUCACUGGUGUUCGGGUUGUCAUGCCAAUGGCACUGCCCGGUAGCUAAAUGCGGAAGAGAUAAGUGCUGAAAGCAUCUAAGCACGAAACUUGCCCCGAGAUGAGUUCUCCCUGAGACUUUAAGUCUCCUGAAGGAACGUUGAAGACGACGACGUUGAUAGGCCGGGUGUGUAAGCGCAGCGAUGCGUUGAGCUAACCGGUACUAAUGAACCGUGAGGCUUAACCU